rnacentral:rRNA from 1 species
UACGUAGGGUGCAAGCGUUAAUCGGAAUUACUGGGCGUAAAGCGUGCGCAGGCGGUUAUGUAAGACAGGUGUGAAAUCCCCGGGCUCAACCUGGGAACUGCAUUUGUGACUGCAUAGCUAGAGUACGGUAGAGGGGGAUGGAAUUCCGCGUGUAGCAGUGAAAUGCGUAGAUAUGCGGAGGAACACCGAUGGCGAAGGCAAUCCCCUGGACCUGUACUGACGCUCAUGCACGAAAGCGUGGGGAGCAAACAGG